GAAUGUGAGGGCAAUCUGGCUGCGACAUCUGUCACCUCAGUGAUCACCAGGGUUGAUUCGGCUGAUCUGGCUGUCUAGGCGGGUGUCCCCUUCCUCCCUCACCGCUCCAUGUGUCCCUCCUGAAGCUGCACGCUCAGUUGAAGAGGACGGCCUUCCCCGAAUAGAGACGGACCAGUCUUCGAUUGAGGGUAUACAAGUAGCUCUGCUCCCCUACUAGAACCUCCUAACAAGCCCUCAAGGGCAACACUAACAACACCAGCAAGGGCAACAAAAUGGGAAAACCAGGCUCAGGAUUUUAAGUGCAUGCACCU
rnacentral:snRNA from 1 species